ensembl:piRNA 21ur-12356 ncRNA
UCAGUCCCAUCUUUUAUUAGU